rnacentral:rRNA from 1 species
ACGAACGCUGGCGGCAUGCCUAACACAUGCAAGUCGAACGAACCCUUCGGGGUUAGUGGCGCACGGGUGCGUAACGCGUGGGAAUCUGCCCUUUGCUUCGGAAUAACUCAGGGAAACUUGUGCUAAUACCGGAUGAUGUCUUCGGACCAAAGAUUUAUCGGCAAGGGAUGAGCCCGCGUAGGAUUAGGUAGUUGGUGGGGUAAAGGCCUACCAAGCCGACGAUCCUUAGCUGGUCUGAGGGGAUGCUCAGCCACACUGGGACUGAGACACGGCCCAGACUCCUACGGGAAGCAGCAGUGGGGAAUAUUGGACAAUGGGCGCAAGCCUGAUCCAGCAAUGCCGCGUGAGUGAUGAAGGCCCUCGGGUCGUAAAGCUCUUUUACCAGGGAUGAUAAUGACAGUACCUGGAGAAUAAGCUCCGGCUAACUCCGUG